GGGCGAUUAGCUCAGGGGUAGAGCACUGCUUUCACACGGCAGGGGUCGCUGGUUCAAAUCCAGCAUCGCCCACCA
rnacentral:tRNA from 2 species